UACGUAGGUGGCAAGCGUUGUCCGGAUUUACUGGGUGUAAAGGGCGUGUAGCCGGGUUGACAAGUCAGAUGUGAAAUCCUGCGGCUUAACCGCAGAACUGCAUUUGAAACUGUUGAUCUUGAGUACUGGAGAGGCUGACGGAAUUCCUAGUGUAGCGGUGAAAUGCGUAGAUAUUAGGAGGAACACCAGUGGCGAAGGCGGUCUGCUGGACAGCAACUGACGGUGAGGCGCGGAAGCGUGGGGAGCAAACAGG
rnacentral:rRNA from 1 species